UACGUAGGUGGCAAGCGUUGCCCGGAUUUACUGGGCGUAAAGGGCGUGCAGGCGGUUUGUUAAGUGCAGGGUGAAAGCUCCCGGCUCAACUGGGAGAGGUCCUUGCAUACUGGCGAACUCGAGGGAGGCAGAGGAAAGUGGAAUUCCCGGUGUAGUGGUGAUAUGCGUAGAUAUCGGGAGGAACACCUGUGGCGAAGGCGGCUUUCUGGGCCUUACCUGACGCUGAGACGCGAAAGCGUGGGGAGCGAACCGG
rnacentral:rRNA from 1 species